AUUGAACGCUGGCGGCAGGCCUAACACAUGCAAGUCGAGCGGAGCGGCGGACGGGUGAGUAAGGCCUAGGAAUCUGCCUGGUAGUGGCGGAUAAAUCACGGAAACGGGCGCUAAUACCGCAUACUAUCAGAUGAGUCUAGGUCGGAUUAGCUAGUUGGGGGGGUAAAGGCAUACCAAGGUGACGAUCCUGAACUGGGCUGAGAGGAUGAUCAGUCACACUGGAACUGAGACACGGCCCAGACUCCUACGUGAGGCAGCAGUGGGGAAUAUUGGACAAUGGGCGAAAUCCGGAUCCAGCCAUGCCGCGUGUGUGAAGAAGUGCUUCGGAUUGUAAAGCACUUUAAGUUGGGAAGCGUUACCAACAGAAUAAGCACCGGCUAACUUCGUGCCAGCCGCCGCGGUAAUAC
rnacentral:rRNA from 1 species